CGGGAUGUAGCGCAGGGGUAGCGCACCGUGUUCGGGACGCGGGGGUCGGUGGUUCAAAUCCACUCAUCCCGA
rnacentral:tRNA from 1 species